rnacentral:tRNA from 1 species
GCCCCUGUAGUCUAGCGGCCAAUGUUUUCACCGCAAUCGCGGUAAAACGGAUAAGGAUUCCGGCCUUUCGAGCCGGUGACCCGGGUUCAAAUCCCGGCGGGGGCA